rnacentral:rRNA from 1 species
AAUAACGCAGCGAAAGCUGUGCUAAUACCGCAUGAGACCACAAGAUCGCAUGGUCAAGGGGUCAAAGGAGCAAUCCGGUGAAGGGUGGGCUCGCGUCUGAUUAGCUAGUUGGCGGGGUAACGGCCCACCAAGGUAACGAUCAGUAGCCGACCUGAGAGGGUGAUCGGCCACACUGGGACUGAGACACGGCCCAGACUCCUACGGGAGGCAGCAGUGGGGAAUAUUGGGCAAUGGGCGAAAGCCUGACCCAGCAACGCCGCGUGAGGGAAGAAGGUUUUCGGAUCGUAAACCUCUGUCCUUGGUGAAGAGUAAGAGACGGUAGCCAAGGAGGAAGCCCCGGCUAACUACGUGCCAGCAGCCGCGGUAAUACGUAGGGGGCGAGCGUUGUCCGGAAUGAUUGGGCGUAAAGGGCGCGUAGGCGGCCUGUUAAGUCUGGAGUGAAAUUCCUGCUUUCAAGGUAGGAAGUGCUUUGGAAACUGGCGGGCUGGAGUGCAGGAGAGGUUAGCGGAAUUCCCGGUGUAGCGGUGAAAUGCGUAGAGAUCGGGAGGAACACCAGUGGCGAAGGCGGCUAACUGGACUGUAACUGACGCUGAGGCGCGAAAGUGUGGGGAGCAAACAGGAUUAGAUACCCUGGUAGUCCACACUGUAAACGAUGAAUGCUAGGUGUAGGGGGUAUCGACCCCUUCUGUGCCGGAGUAAACACAAUAA